CCUCUCCACGGUGUCCAUUAGUUCAUGGGAUAUGCCAUGAUUUAUUAACUACAAUUUUGAGACAAAGAAACGCACAAAAUUGUUUGACCCAUAUAUUGGAAACAAUGUGAACAACAUAAAUAAUGGUACAACUUAGGUUCAAGAUAUGGUAUCUACCUCGAAGAAGCCCCAGUUUUCACAGGCAUCUUUGAUUGUCUCCAUGGUUGCUCCUCUCUCCUCACCAUUUAGUUUCUCCAAGUUGAUCACUGGGAAGUUCUCCAUCUCUCUCUCUCUCUCUCUCUUUGUGACGGAAGGAAA